AUUUCAAGCUCUUCUGUGUCGAGCUAAGGAGCUGCUCUGUGCCCGGCUUACAGAACUGGAAGGGGUAGCCACCUUCCGCCUGAUGGAGGCUGGAGAACGGAUGGAACCUGGAUCCCUGGAGCCUGGGACACUACCUCGCUGCGGUUGGUGGUGGCCACAGACCAGUAGGAGGGCGGCUGGCAGCGGGAGCUUCUUCUGCCGGGCUGGAGGAUUAGGAGAAGGAAGAGGGAACGCCACAUGCUGGAGGCUGGAGCCUGUGCCACCGUGGCUCACCUCGCUGUGGUUGGUGGCAGCUCGCCUUGCUGUGGUUGGUGGUGACGUCGGAGACUGCAGCUCGGCCACAGUGGUAGAAAUGUGUUGGGCUUUUGCUGUGUUGGGCACUUGCUCCCAUCUGCUUUCUUCUCUAGAAUCCACUGCCCUAGAAUGAGUAAUUUUUCUUAGAAGCAGAGUUGGAACCACUGAGGAAGCACAGUGUCGAUGCAUGGGAAGCCCAAGCCACAGAGGGGCCCCAGGCAGGUGCUCUGGUCAACAGCUCAAGAUGAAUGUCCACCUGACACCAGCAUCUGUGGCCAG